rnacentral:rRNA from 1 species
CAGCAGCCGCGGUAAUACGAAGGGGGCUAGCGUUGUUCGGAUUUACUGGGCGUAAAGCGCACGUAGGCGGAUCGAUCAGUCAGGGGUGAAAUCCCAGAGCUCAACUCUGGAACUGCCUUUGAUACUGUCGAUCUGGAGUAUGGAAGAGGUGAGUGGAAUUCCGAGUGUAGAGGUGAAAUUCGUAGAUAUUCGGAGGAACACCAGUGGCGAAGGCGGCUCACUGGUCCAUUACUGACGCUGAGGUGCGAAAGCGUGGGGAGCAAACAGGAUUAGAUACCCCGGUAGUCCCUGUCUCUUAUAA